GAUGAACGCUAGCGGGAUGCCUAACACAUGCAAGCCGAGCGGUAGAGUUUCUUCGGAAACUUGAGAGCGGCGCACGGGUGCGUAACACGUGUGCAACCUACCUUUAUCUGGGGGAUAGCCUUUCGAAAGGAAGAUUAAUACCCCAUAAUAUAAUGAUUGGCAUCAAUUAUGAUUGAAAACUCCGGUGGAUAGAGAUGGGCACGCGCAAGAUUAGAUAGUUGGUGAGGUAACGGCUCACCAAGUCAAUGAUCUUUAGGGGUCCUGAGAGGGAGAUCCCCCAGACUGGUACUGAGACCCGGACCAGACUGCUACGGGAGGCAGCAGUGAGGAAUAUUGGGCAAGGGGUGAGGACCUGAUCAAGCCAUCCCGCGUGAAGGAUGACGGUCCUAGGGAUUGUAAACUUCUUUUGUAGAGGGAUAAACCUACCCUCGUGGGGGUAGCUGAAGGUACUGUACGAAUAAGCACCGGCUAACUCCGUG
rnacentral:rRNA from 1 species